GUGAGACAGUUCGGUCCCUAUCUGCCGUGGGCGCUGGAGAACUGAGGGGGGCUGCUCCUAGUACGAGAGGACCGGAGUGGACGCAUCACUGGUGUUCGG
rnacentral:rRNA from 1 species